rnacentral:sRNA from 1 species
UCCUACGGGUAGGCUUGCACGUUGGGGA